AAGGGAAUUUAUCUUACAGGCUUCACAGGCAUCAUCAUCAGUCACAGUAUGUGAAAAUAUGUUAAUUAAUACUUUUUUUCUUUGCUGCUAUUACAGCACUUUGAUUUAGAAUCUACAUUCAAAGACAAAAGCUAAACAAAAGCUAAGGGUUUGUGCCUUAGAAGGCUAAAUCACCAUUAAAAUAAACCAUUUUGAAAACUCAAUUAGCUGUUCAAUUUUAUACUGUGAUUAUUAUUUCUCCAGGUUUUUCCUCAUAUACAAAAAAUAGAAAAUUUGGUUUGUUUUUUCCAUAUUAAGAAAGCUUGUGAACUGUCUGUGUCAGUGUUACAUAUUUAGUGGGCUUAUUAUUAUUUUUGCAAUGCACUGGCACAGCUCAAUUUUAAAUGCAAUUACUACAUUAUAAUCUUGGCAAGACCCACUGUUCCAAAUAAUUCUCUGAUGUACAAAUUAGUCUUCCUACUAAAUGAAAACUGCCAAUGGAAAGGUAUUAUUAUAGCAUAUAAAAAUGAAAAGUCUCACUCAAGUGCAGAAUAACUAUAAAUUUCAUUUCCGAGAUAUAUACUGUAUACACACAAACUUUUAAAAAAGUUAUAAUUAAGAUGUCUAAUUCUUCUGAAAUAACACUCAAAUAUAAAAUAAUUCCCUGUAGGAUAUGUAGGCAGCCUGGAUCAAAUAGCGCCUUCCUACACAGUGAACUAGAAACACUGCUAGGCUAAUAGGUUGAACAAUUUCUUCCACUUUUUUUCCCCAGAAUAUGAAGAUAAACAGCAAUUGAAGUGUGGUCAGAAGAUUCUGCAAUUAUUUUUUGAUCACCAACACCAUUGGUGGUUGUGAGGUAAAGUUUUUAUUACGGUAUAUAUUUAUAAGUGUCUUCAACAACUUACGGUAUUUUCCCUAGUUCUGCCACACAGUAGUACCAUACAUGGUCUUUUCAGCAUCAAAGAUUUCCUGCGUUGGCAGAGAAACCAACUCUGAAACGAGGACUUCAAGACUGGCUUUUAUUUCCUACUAGGAGGUCCUUCUGGGAAGGAGGACUCAACAAUGCAAGCACCAAACCAAGUGGGCUUCCUACUUUCUAUGGCUUGGUUUAAAAUGGAAACACUUGAUGAAGAAAGUGAUUUAUUUCAUAUUAUAUUUAUGAAAAGGUAGAGCAGCCUCAAUGUUUUCAGUAUUCCUGAAACUGCUUACUUGAUUAUACAAUGAAGAAACAAGAUAGGAAAAAACUUCUUAAAAAUCCCCAGGGAUUUUUUUUUUUAAAAUGCCCAUGUACCCUUAUUUUGCAAUGGCUCUGGUUGUGAAAUCAUCAGACUGAAAAAUACUGGAGGAGUGGUGAGGGUGGAUUUUAGUGACAAGAUUUCUUUAAGGCUAUAAACAAAUCAAAUUCAUUAAGAGAAACAGAGAUGGCAGAUUUCAUCAUAAAAGGGGGAAAACAUUCUCCAGUUGAAUUACAGGUAUAGCACAAAACAUAGUUGUUUCAUUUUUUAAAACUUCAGUUUCUGCAUUCUGAAACAGCAUUUCAGUUGGCUCAGUUCACAAGAGCCAUCUGCACCUGCUCAAGAAACAG